AUGGAGUACCAGGGACAGCAGCAGCACGGUCAGGCGACUAACCGCGUCGACGAGUACGGUAACCCGGUGGCCGGACAUGGCGUCGGCACCGGCAUGGGCGCGCACGGCGGCGUCGGCACCGGCGCGGCCGCUGGUGGGCAGUUCCAGCCCUCGAGGGAGGAGCACAAGGCCGGAGGGAUCCUGCAGCGCUCCGGCAGCUCUAGUAGCUCCAGCUCGUCUGAGGAUGAUGGCAUGGGCGGGAGGAGGAAGAAGGGCAUCAAGGAUAAGAUUAAGGAGAAGCUUCCGGGUAGCCACGGCGACCAGCAGCAGACCGCUGGCACCUACGGGCAGCAAGGUCAUACUGGAACGGCCGGCACCGGCGGCAACUACGGCCAGCCCGGACACACCGGAAUGGCUGGCACCGACGGCACCGGUGAGAAGAAGGGCAUCAUGGACAAGAUCAAGGAGAAGCUGCCCGGACAGCACUGA
rnacentral:rRNA from 1 species